CACGGCGCACGGGUGCGUAACACGUGGGCAAUCUGCCCUCCGAUGGGGAAUAACCCCGCGAAAGCGGGGCUAAUACCGCAUAAAAUUCCUUGGACCAUGGUCCGAGGAUUCAAAGCAGUAAUGCGUCGGAGGAGGAGCCCGCGCCCGAUUAGCUAGUUGGCGAGGUAACGGCUCACCAAGGCAAUGAUCGGUAGCUGGUCUGAGAGGAUGAUCAGCCACACUGGAACUGAGACACGGUCCAGACUCCUACGGGAGGCAGCAGUGGGGAAUCUUGCACAAUGGGCGAAAGCCUGAUGCAGCGACGCCGCGUGGGGGAUGAAGCAUUUCGGUGUGCAAAUCCCUUUCGACCGGGAAGAAUGCCUCGCAAGAGGAUUGACGGUACCGGUAUAAGAAGCCCCGGCUAACUACGUGCCAGCAGCCGCGGUAAGACGUAGGGGGCCAGCGUUGUUCGGAAUUACUGGGUGUAAAGGGUUCGUAGGCGGUGCGGCAAGUUGGGAGUGAAAUCUCUGGGCUUAACCCAGAGGCUGCUUCCAAAACUGCUGUGCUUGAGUGUGGGAGAGGCGCGUGGAAUUGCAGGUGUAGCGGUGAAAUGCGUAGAUAUCUGCAGGAACACCCGUGGCGAAAGCGGCGCGCUGGACCACAAC
rnacentral:rRNA from 1 species